UGUCGGCACUGGUUGACACCCAGGUUGGACAAGCCCCAGUGUUGACUUCUAGUGGCAGAUACUCUGAUUCGGUUCUCUCCAGAUUACAAGCACCCUUUGAUUCAUUCAUUCAUCCACUCAUUCAGCAAAUAUUUACUGAACUCAAAGUAGGUAUCAGGCACGAUGAUAAGUGAUGUGUGGGACACAGUCCCUGUCUUUACUGAAGCAGAGGUAAGGUGGAAAUUCUACACAAAUAACUUUCUUAUAAGGCAGCAGUAUGUGCAAUGCACAGGUGGAAUGCAGAAAGAGAGGAAAUGAUGUCUGUUUCCCAAGAUCAAGGAGGCUGACACUGGAGUAUAGGUAACGAUGCGAUAAAGGGGGGACAUUCCCGCCAGAGGGAACAAACUGCCCAGAGGCCAGGAAGCAUGGGGGUUCGGGGUCCGCCCAUAUACACUGAAGAGGCUAGCAGUACAUGAGGCAGGUAGCAGAGUUGUACAGGGUAGAAGGAACAUGUGCUCUGGAAUAAGACCCACCAGAAUUCAAAUCCUGGUUCUCCCACUGUGUAGUAGUAUUUUCUUACCUCUGUAGAUGUUGAUGUUCUCAUCUGUACGUUAGGGUUAACAGUCCUCUCUCAUAGAGGAAUGUGAAUGGUAAAUGGGAGACUGAUUAUAGAAUGGUUAGAAUACUGCUGGUGUUCACGUAAUGAUAACCAUUGUUAUCCUGCGCAUUUAACCUUUUGUACAGUGGUCUGCCUUGGGAUAGAUGUAUAAGUCCUAAUAGAUUCUUCUUGGCCUUGGAAACAGUAACAAAGGGAGUAGACCCUAAGCUCUAUGGGAGGAACCCUGUAAAGGACUGUUUAUCUUGGGUCUUUCACCCCUUCUUUGCCACUUCAGUGCCCAGGGCUUUCAGAGACCAAAUAAUUUCAUAUAAGGGGAUCCUCUGCAAUAUUUAGGACAUGCUUAUACUAAAAAGUUAUUUGUUAUUUAUCUGAAAUUUGAAUUCCGUUGGCCAUCUUUUGUGGAGGGACAGCCCAAGAACCAGCCCGAACAGGCUGUGUGCCUUACUGGGGAAAGGGAACUCACUGGUCUUCUAAGCUUUCUCUUGGGUAGUGUAGGCUUGCACAGCAGGCUGUAGGCAGUGCCCUCAAGUUGCUUCCUGGGUAGAGAUUUUAAAUGUUGGUGGGCGUUCCUGGGAGUGGGAGUAGGGAUGAUGUGGGGAAGGGCGUCUUGGACCAAUCUUCUCAUAUUCCCAUCCUUGUUCUUAAGAACAUUCUCACGGACAAUUGGCAGAAUGAAGACCGCCUCUGUGGGUUGAUAACUUGUCUCACUAAGUAAGAACAAGCCCUCUGUUACAGCGUUUUUCUUCCAGGAGCAUUGCUAAAAGUGGGAACUUCAGCUGUCCCUUGUGGUAUGACUCAAGAUGGCCAUGGCAGGUGUGACAGUAACUGACCAAACACUCCCUGCUCUGCCCUUCCCAGAGACAUUUUAAAACUAGGCCCGAGUCUCACUGAUGAAUGAACCUCAGCAACAUAUACUUAUGAGAAUAUAACCAACGGUUACCUCUCUGCAAGCCAAGCCUGACACGUGGGUUGUCUUUUCCAGUCCUGUUAGACUUUAACCUGUGAUUUUCCACUUGCAUUUUGGGCCUUUUCAGAGGUAAAUGUGAGAGUCAGACUCUCCAGUUACCUCAGGGGCGAGUUCGUCCCUUCACACUGGUGAGCCUAAGGCCUGCAGUAGCAUCUCUGUUCCUCCUCGCAAACCAUUCAGGUCUCGGUCUUGGAUGGUCUCGGGUGGGCCCCGUGACUGUGAAGGAGUCACGUCACUCCUCCUCUGAAAACACAGGGGUGGGACUAGACCAAGAAUUGGCAAACAACAGCCAGCCGCCUGUUUUCACAAAUAAAGGUUUAUUGGAACACA